rnacentral:rRNA from 1 species
CGCGUAGGCGGCUUUAUAAGUCUGGAGUGAAAGUCCUCUUUUCAAGGGAGGAAUUGCUUUGGAAACUAUAGAGCUUGAGUGCAGGAGAGGUUAUCGGAAUUCCCGGUGUAGCGGUGAAAUGCGUAGAUAUCGGGAGGAACAUCGGUGGCGAAGGCGGGUAACUGGGACUGCAACUGACGCUGAGGCGCGAAAGUGUGGGGAAGCAAACAG